GACCCUGCCAGAUUCCACGAUUUGGGGAUUCCCUAUGAGGAGCCGGCGCGUCGUCCUCAUCGCAGGCGGGCGGGUGUUGGCAUGUGCGCGUACGGAGGAGCUCCACCUCACCCACUUCAGCUUCCUCCUGUCGUCAUCAUCGUCCUCCGCGCGACCACGCCAGCUUCCAUGGUUUGGGGGAGCCUUCCCUAUGAGGAUCCAGCGUGUCGUCCUCGUCGCACCCUAAUUAGGUUCCUGGUGUGUCCGCACCGCCGCACCCUAAUUUGAUUUCGACUAGAGUCUAGGACGUCAGCGCACCAGUUUACUAAUCAGGUCGUUAGCACUGCCGUCCAGGUGAUAAUAAACGUCGUUCACCACAACAAGAGGUGAGAGGCAGAUUCCAGAUAAGGUAUGCCCUAGCUGGUUUUAUGAACCAGAGGCGAGAGGCAGAUUCUUGAUUAUGAUUUUUAACUGGAUCUUAUAUUAUCAUAGCUUUAUGCUAAUUUCCAAAAAUAAUUGUCCUUUUCAAUUUUAGUACUGUCAUGCCAUCUCGAAAGUAUGCAUUGAGAAGAAAUUGUUGGAUGAGAUAGAUAGUUACUAUCAUUACUAAUUUACUAAUUUGCAUCUCGGAUGAUUUUAUUACUAUUUGAUAUGCUUAAUGAUUUUAGAUGCCCUUUUUUGGCCUCUAAAUUUAUGUCUACAUAGAUUGAUUAUUAUUUAGACCUUUAUACUAAAGGCCCUGGAUUUUUGUUUCGCCCUGGGCCCCUAAAAUCCGAGGACCGGACCUGCCGGCAGCACUUGAUUCUAUUUUAGCUGCAACCAAGUAUCUACUUUAAAGUUAUAUAGAUCAGAUUUUGUUGAUAAAGCUGAUUUUCCUGAUCCUAUAAUCCUUGUUCUGUCAAGCCAAACAUGUCAUUUUCUUUAAGUUUGCAUAACUGUAGUUUUUAUUUGUCAAUUUUCUAAAGUUUUAUGAACACUUCUGUUUUUCUGUCGAGCACUAAUAGAGAGAAAACUGUUUUCUUAUUUUUAACAGGGAGCAAACUGUGUAGCAAGAUCAAUAAUGAAUGGUUCAAGUCAUGUGUUACAAGUUACAAUGAGCAGGUGGUACUCAAGUCCGUUGAUGAUAAGGAUAUUAUUCGAACAUUUACUGCAAUGAGGUCUCGGAAAGGGCAUUUGCCUCGUGAUUGUCUUUAGUGCGCUGUCGGUAUUCGGCAUGUUCCAUCUGACCAUCUAUAUUCUUGCAAGCUUUUGAUUUGUAAUAUAUUCAAAUAAUUUGUAUUUAAAAAUUAUGGGUUAGUAGAUCCGUUUUAAUUUGCAUUUCUAUUCUUGCAAGUAUUCGGUAUUUGCAUUCUUUUGUCCAUGCUUUAAUUCCUAGAUCCUGUUUGUUUCGGCAGCAUUGUUACUUUGUUGUUUCUUCUGCUACAAGCCCCAUGGUUAUAGUAAACCUUCUUAUUUUAAGCAUCCUAUCAAACCUACUUAAACAAACGUGUGCCUUUUUGCCCACAUCUUCAUGCUAUUCAUCUGCAUGUUGCCUUGCAUAUAUAUAUUUGGUCAAAAAGCAUACGGUUUCACCACAACGGGUAACACACAGGCCAUAUGUGUCCUCUGCUUAUGGAUCUGUACUUGUGUUUCGUAUAUGCUAACCAUACUUUCUGUUGCUCUCACCAAACUCUCGUGUUAACUGUUGAGUGAUGGGAUCAGUUCAUGACCUAACUAAAACCUCUGAUCCAACACCUCAUCAUACUUUUGGUCAGACAUGCAUAUUAGGCCAACGGCACAUUUUAGUGAAUGAAAACUAUGAGAUGAGAAUAAAUAGGCGCUCUGUUUGGUUCAGAUAUUUUCAUACAUAAUUUGAUGUACUUCUCAUGGAUAUCUUCUUACACGUGAGCUUAUUUUGAAGAUGAUAAUAAGUUUCUGCCUUAGAGUUAAUGCAUAGUAUAUGACCGUCAAUCUCCAGUUCGAGGAAGAUUUUGGAGCAGCAACAUACAAGCAGAGCUAAGAUUGGUCCAUCCACUUCAUUUAUUUUCUGAAAAGGAAUUGAUGAAUGAGAGUAUAUUUUGAGAGAUCCAUCUAUAUGGUACGUUCAAUGCUGAUUUGAUACUUUUGCGCAUGUCUCGUGCAGGCAUGCCAGCGCCUUCGUCGACCUCCACUCGCCAAUCUGUAACGCCCAUGCCCGUGGUGGCGGGUCACACUCUGAUGCAGCCGUGCACGCCGCCGCUACCAGACGACACCCCCAUCGAGUAAUACACCCCAGUUGAGAUUUUCUAUAUCAUCUCUGCCAAGGCGCAGUCAUCGGAAGAGAUUCAGGUAAGAUUAUCCUUGUUUUCUACAUCAAAUUUUGCAUGUUCAUCUAUCUAAUCUUUGAUACUACAUUUCUUAGCUAAUGUCCUCCUUGCCUGUACCAUGUUCAUAUGAUUAACAAAGGCUUGGCCAUCUUAAUAUAGUAGCCCGUGAGGUGGAUAUAUAUACUACUCCCUCCAUUCCUAAAUAUAAGUCUUUUUACAGAUUCCAAUAUGGACUACUGAAUGAAUCUACACUCUAAAGAAUGUCUAUAUGCAUCCGUAUGUAGUCCAUAUUGAAAUUUCUAAAUGGACUUAUAUUUAGAAACAGAGGGAGUACUUCAGUUUGCAUGAUAGAAUAAUCACUUAUAUGUGUGCCUUGAUAUUAUAGUAGGAUUGCUUGGAUUAUUUCUGUAGUACUUUGUCCAAAAAUGUUGGUCUAAUCCCUAGCUCACUUGAACCUGGGUGAACAGUAAAAUAAUUAAAAAAUCUGAUGUUUUUUAGUGUGAAACAUUGACAAAUGUUUUCAUAGCGAAUAGAAAUUUUUCACCAGAUGACAUUCGUGGAAAAUAUAUCCAAAAAAUAGUUGCAAAUUUAUCACCAGAUAACAUUGUGGAAAAUAGUUGCGUCCGUACAGUGUGUUCUUCGUCGAAUUUGUGUUUGAUUUUUUCACUAUAUAUUACUUCUUGCUUGCGCGAGGGUGGUGUAGAUUUGUUAUUUUUUGCCCCGAAAAGAAGGUAGUCAGAUUAGUAGUCUAAUUGAGUAGAUGCUGGUGAGGGAGGGUUACUUGAUUUUUAUUGAGUACAUUAUGCUCUGCUUUGUGAGGAGGUUUGAAAUUUGAUGGUUCUGAUAUGUAAUAGAGGGGGCAAAAGUGUUAUCCAUUUCAUUGUUUCUGUGCAUGUUUACGUUGACCAUCGGUGGCGGGAGGCGGCAUUGCUGGCGGCCGAAGGGGUGCUUGUGGAAGCAGGUGGAAUAGUCGGCAACUGUGGGGAUUCGUUAUUCUCCAAGGUUGGCGGGCUCGACGCGAGGCUCGAUGGGGCUGCGGGAUUGUCAAGCAGGCGGGUGAUUGCUCAACGAUGACUGGAGACGAUCUUCGGUAUUACAACUGGUUUAUACCAAUGGGUUAUUUGCAUCUCAAGUUAAAUUAGUCACUAUUGAUCAACAAUGAGAUGUGGCCAUUGUUUGAUGGAUCAUUGAUGGUACGGAUGUGCAAUGAAACAAUGAUAUACCCACUGUAUUGGACCCAAACACCUUCCUGAAAAUUGUUCUGAAGGGGUUAGCACAAGGAAACUAUUGUUAUGACUUGCGAGGUCUACUGGAGGUGACCGGAUCCGGAUGACUUGAGAAAAGCUGUGAAAAUUCACGGCAAGGGAUGGGGGUACAAGGCAUGGGUCUGCGGCGCCACACUUUGCUGUUCCCUGUCGGUGGCCAGCGAGCUGUGGCGGUGCUUCUCUGUUGCAUGGCGAGGGACUGGGGUGCAAGGCGUGCAUCUGCAGUGCCACUCCUGGGGCAUGCCUCUCCCGCGACAUUGCCGGCAUACACAACAUACCUUACUACACGGGGAUUUCCUCUCUGAACUAAAUAUUAUGUCAGAACUGAAUAUUACGUUCGAAGACUGAAACAUCCAGAAAGCUUAUUGAGACUAUUCAUUGAUGGUGUUUCUCUACUACACGAGGAAGUUUCAUGUGCCAAUUAGGCAUGGACGGCGACGGCCAUGAUCCCAUCAUCGCAAGCUCACGGGAGGGAGACACACGUCUCAUCCAGUGUAAUAGCACGCUCCAAAAAAUCCCUAACCCUCCAUGGAGCCAUUGCCAGGGUGAUGAGAUCAACACCACCCACCAGCACCACCACCGAGUCGUAGACGGCGUGUCAUGGUGGUCCCUAGCUCUUCCCGCCUCUUAAGAGACCACAUGGCAUUCUGGCAGUUCUGGUGCAGUUUUUGGCAAAGGCUGGAAGCCAAGAACACUUAAUUUUGAUCAUGGACGUGACAUUGUGGUCGGCGUUGUGUGGUGCAGUUCAAAGUUUUCUUGCCUAGCGUAUAACAAUGCAUGUUCAAUGGGGUAGCCUCUUCUCAGGCACGAGUAUCCGAGGCAGACCAUGACAUCUAUUUAGAAUAGCUACAACAAAAUUGUGACAGAGAUGGUUAGUGGGAGAAGGAACUUGAGACCACAGUCAAUUCUGCUGUAGGGGCUGUGUGUAGAAGAUAGUAGUAGCAAACAUAGAAGUCACUUUGGAAAAAAAAGUGUGCAUAUAUUGUUGUACUAGAGAUCCAUUCCUAUAUUUCACUGAUAUGCAUGGUUGAACUGUAGUAUGUGUGAUAAGUGAUAAUAAUGUAAUAUGAAGCGAAACGUGGUGGACAGGGCUUCACAUUGUUG
rnacentral:rRNA from 1 species